GACGAACGCUGGCGGCGUGCUUAACACAUGCAAGUCGAACGGAAAGGCCCUGCUUGCAGGGUACUCGAGUGGCGAACGGGUGAGUAACACGUGGGUGAUCUGCCCUGCACUUCGGGAUAAGCUUGGGAAACUGGGUCUAAUACCGGAUAGGAGCCAUCUUUAGUGUGGUGGUUGGAAAGUUUUUUCGGUGUAGGAUGAGCUCGCGGCCUAUCAGCUUGUUGGUGGGGUAAUGGCCUACCAAGGCGGCGACGGGUAGCCGGCCUGAGAGGGUGUACGGCCACAUUGGGACUGAGAGACGGCCCAGACUCCUACGGGAGGCAGCAGGGGGGAAUAUUGCACAAUGGGCGCAAGCCUGAUGCAGCGACGCCGCGUGGGGGAUGAAGGCCUUCGGGUUGUAAACUCCUUUCGCUAGGGACGAAGCGUUUUUGUGACGGUACCUAGAGAAGAAGCACCGGCUAACUACGUG
rnacentral:rRNA from 1 species